rnacentral:rRNA from 1 species
GAUGGUGGUUGGGUUGGUUUGGUUGCGCCGUUUUAGAAGAGGAGAGGUCAGAUGGAAGCGGACACAGGAUGCAUCCAGGAUCGCGAUGGCCGCGACGGUGGCACGGCACGGAGUCGCGGUCGGCGGCUGCUGCUGAGUUAGGGCAUGGUGCGGGGGUGGGGGUCGUGGGGGCGGAGAGUGCGGGGAGCACGGGUCGGCUAGAGCAAAGGGGAGUGGCGUCGUAGCGCAAGGGCGCCAAAGGCGGGGAAGGCGUUGGAAGCCGUUUAUCAAACACUCUCGGAAGUUCUAAACUCGUGGUGUCCAUUGUCGGAGGAUGUAGGAUCACAGCCAUGAACCAUCCCAUUAGAAGGGACCAGGGGUCUUCGACUGGAAAUAUAUUCUUCUAACUUGUCUCGUACACUUGGUAGGUCUUUAGACUACGUGUACACUUGGUAGGACCAGCACUCCGAAGGUGGCUAGUCAGAAAUUAAUCUGAUACGUUUACCGAGACGAUCGUUCCGAUAGAGAACGUUCGAGACUUCGUUCUCUCAGAUCAAACCUUCUUUCUGUACGACCAAGACUACUUGUUUGAAGUCUUGUUAGUUGCCUCCUUCGUAAAGUUCGUAGAGUAAAACUGUCACUAAGUGUCCAAGCAGAUCCGUCGAGAAGCCAAUUACCAUCAGAAGGAUUAUGGCCAGUCGAACCACCCUUCACACUGUGACUGUUACCCUACUACGCCCAAGGUUCACUAUCCUGUUUAAUGUCACCACUACGCAGACCUCUCCAACGACUGGCCCUCGAAAGCCAGAGAAGACGGGGAGUUUCCCUCUUACAUUAGGACGGUUCUAACCCACUACAGACGUACCUUCCCGGUAAACAAGCCGCCGUUUGUAGACUGUCCCCUAAGGGGUCUUAUUAUAGCAGCAGCAGGUACCUACGGGCCCCACUAAAGAGACGGUAGCUCUUAGUCCACGCGCUCGAUUAGUUACUAAACCCUUCGCUAAGGUAUCUUCCAGUCUCUAGUCGUUGUAGGCUCUAAGCAGAAGAUCGAUUCGUGUUGUACCUCUUGUCCUAACACUAACGAUUAACACCCCGAUAUUUGAACGACCAACCGGAAGAAGUAAGUGGUCUACGGUUUUAGGUUCUUUUACGUCACUGUCGGGAGGAGUUAAACAGUGAGUCACUAUAGUUAUUCUAACGGUAGCACUUACGUCUACGACAACUAGGUGAGCAGGUACAGGACCUUUGUCCCUUGGGACUUCGAUUUCUCUUGAGUCGUCGAUGAAACAAGUCAGAGAGUAAAUAACUUCUAUUGUCUCGCUCCUAACCUGUUAGACCGCGGCAUUUCGGAGAGCAGCUGGACGACCCUUUACCCUCGGGUGCUCCUUUCUUUCUACGCCAAUGACGUAACAAAUUAAAUAGGUAUGAAUUACUCUUGUUCCCAGCUUAACACGUUCGACUACGAGACUCCGUGGAUCAACUCGAAUACCUGGGACGACGACCUUACCAGCUAUUCCGACAUCGACAGAACCGUUUAGAACGAUGCUAUGUUCUUCCCUCCUGACGCUAACCCGUCCGCGCACCAUAAGGUCGGGAACAACUUCAACAGCUUGACCCAAGUCGCUUUCGCUUCCUUUUACGACGACGCCGUAACGAAGUCGAUACGUGUUUGUCGUUGUCCAAAACGUUGUAUCAAGAAGUUCUCCUACGGCACGGGGGAAAUCAGCGUGACAGUGUCAGUCCUUGUGGUGCGCGUUCUCUUUUCCGCGCCCGAGAAGAGUCGAUGAAGGCGUCGGUUUCUGUACCCUUGAGCCCUUCCUCUACUACUACUACCAGGAUGUUAUAUAAAAAAGAUCACAUGUAGUUCGUAAGGGGACCUAAAGAGUCUACUACCAAUAACAACAACUGACCGCGACACAUGACGAAUCAGUAUAACUCUAACACGAGUAGUAGAGUUCGAUGACUACCUAAUCAUCCACACAAACACUGCAGCAGCAACAACUCUACCACAUAAAAGCCCAAAUAUAAAAAAAUGUCGAACAGAUAACCAUAGACAAAGUGACUCUAUCAUAAAGCAUGUACAAUAAUCGACUAAGUUUGUCACUAAAUAACGGGCGUAAGAAAGGGAAGAGACAGAUCUGAACUCUCUAUGAUCGCGAGACUACACGGACUAGGACACUGGCAUCCAAUCCCGUCGCUUACAUGACCGCGAGACACUAUCUUGACUUUAGUCAUCAAUGUUCGAUGUCCUCGCCUGGAUCGAGUUGAGUUGUACCACCC